GAAGCGGCCAGAGGUCGCGGUCGUCAUCACUAGCGCCGUCGAGGGAAAGGGACCCGUCGGAGGCGGCGCGAACGGGACGAUCGCCGAAGGCGAGGACCGGGCUUCCUUACGGUCUCCGCCUGGGACGUGUUCCGAAAGGGCACGGACUGUCGUGGCGAGGAGGGCACCUCGCCGCGGAGCGCUGACCGCAUC
rfam:Chloroflexi bacterium RIFCSPLOWO2_12_FTLL_71_12 rifcsplowo2_12_scaffold_21320, whole genome shotgun sequence.